rnacentral:lncRNA from 1 species
ACAAAUUGAUCAUGAGAGGAAUUUCAUCUUAUCAAUAUCAUUCAUUCAUUUUAGGAGAUGAAAUGUAGAUUUCAUCAAUCCCUUAAAUACAAUGGUUUUGAUCAAACAAAAGUCAAAUCAACCAUGACCAAGGCCCAAAUAGAAAGUCAAAUAACACAAGACCAUAAAAAUGGCUCAACACAAUUUUUAAAUAUUUAAUCAAUUAAAAAUAAAAUUAAA